UUACUACUCCCUUUGUCCGGAAAUACUUGUCGAAAAAAUGGAUGUAUCUACGUGUAUUUUAGUUUUAGAUACAUUCAUUUUGGCGACAAGUAAUUCUGGACGGAGGGAGUAAUUC
rfam:Triticum aestivum genome assembly, contig: Triticum_aestivum_CS42_TGACv1_scaffold_224052_3B